GAUACGCGGAACUGUAUAUCGAUAAUCCCCAGCUGUGAGGUGGAGUAGAAAAAGUCGAUCUGGCCAAGAAGGAGAUUGUGGCAUCCAAAUGGUCACCUAUGCUACGGACAAUUCCCCCAAACAUGUGUGUCCUCGAAGGGGCUCUGGAUCACGACGCAAGGGUAAGGCUCUUCGAACACGCAACACUACCGCAGCUUGAAAAACAAAGACACACUUAAUGUAUACGAUAUAGGGCCUCGGCUUUUAGGCGUGGGAUCUUAAGGAUAAGCUUUGUCUUUCUGGUUUCGGUUUAGAAUUUCUAGCAUCGAAUUUGUUUGCGGUGCCGAAGUUUCACACAUAAAUGCCGAAAACCCCCCGUUCUUACGCCAAAUGGCAGGCAGAUGCCGAAAGCACUCGUUGGCUGCUACAAUAUUUUUUUCGCGCGUCAUUGUGGCAAACCGGUUUUAUGGGCCCAUGGGUGCCUCGGGACGGUCGAUCUUGUGCGCAGUCUCUGGCACACUAGUCCGUUAGGAAUGACCAGAUGAGCGUUUGUGUUCCAAUGAAGCACGUGCCAGGUGUUUGUGGUGUAAGAUUUUCGUUGCACAUCUGUUUAUUCUUGCGAGACAUACUGGACCGAAUUGCGAACUCGAUUGUGCUGACUCACGACUCGAGAUUUAAGCAAAGAAGUGAUGCACUUCCCAAGAGAUAAUCUUGUGAGCAAUAUAAGUAGUACAAGGGACCAACUUGGAGACGAGACGGGUCGUGAUUGUACGAUACCGUCAGAAAAAGUCCGAGACACUGGAAUCAUUCUCGAGUGUCCUGCGUUGCCCGGAUGUGUAGCAGCCGUGCCCACGUGCGUUGAAACAACCCGACGGUUUUUGAGCUUUCCGGAUGACAUGAGAAAGUCUACGUCACGCAACACUCAUCAGUAAAUUGGUGCUUCUCUAUCGACCGCGUCUGCAUCUUCAGCACCCGCUUGGAACAGAAGACACACGGCCUGCCAUCACUAGGAGGACUAGUAACAGAUAUUCACCGGACAAG
rnacentral:lncRNA from 1 species